AGCAAUGGCGAGAAGGCAAACUUUGAGGAGUCUUCUCAUACUCCUCAUACUUACCAGUGACGUGCUCGCCCACGUCAUCAAGAUACAAAAUGGUGUAGGGUGGUCGGAGUCCUUCCGAGUUCCAGCUGGCCCUGGACACUCGAUGGACUCUGACCUGCAGGACCUUCCCUCCGCUAAGGACACGGUGGAAUCCAGCUUGGCAUCUCGCGAGGUGCUGGCGAGGUUCCUCCGUGUCGCGGACAGCAACGGACUGCACUCUGGCCCUGGUCUCGAGACGAUUCGAGACCGAGCCAGGCAGGCGAAAAUCGCGGCGGGCGUUUUAAGUGGGAUAAUCCACCGACGGAAGAGGGCCCUGGGUGACACGGAUAACGAAGGUCUUACGCCUAACUGGUUCUCUCGCCUGGCCGAGAGAAAUGUUAUUUUUAUCACCAGGGUCUUCAGAUCUCGGCGGUGGGGGAGGUACAGGUACACGAUGAGUGUGUCCUCCCUCAUACUCUUGGUGUCCACGAUCACGCAAGUGUACCUGGACAGGCAAGGUAUGGGGGAUAUCGGCGACACCUCGACUUACCUGGAUUUCUACUGGCUCCUGUACGACGUACUUAAUGAGGUCAAAGAGUUUGCGGACUCGAAUUGCUAUUACCCCACCUAUUGGCCCGCCGCGUUGCUCGCCCCCGACCACUGCAAUCCCUACCGCCUGGUGGAGGAGACCCGCCGUGCCUUGGUAAACAGGUGGUGAAAUUCAGACUGAAUUUAGGUCAUUUACUAAAUCUGGGUUUUGGUGUGGAGGAUAAAAAAAAUAUCGUGCUUGAGACCGUAAGAAAUGGCCUCUUGUUUGUGUCUUUCUAACAUUAUUUUUUUGAGGCAAUAAAAGUCUCCUGGAAAGUGAUGCCAGAGUUGUUUAAAGUUCAUGCCUCGGGAUUUCCAGGCUUGCGUGCGGUGUUACCUCCACCAGGCGGAUGGGAUGAUGGGAUCGAAACCCGCUGCUGACUCAACAGAGUGGAAGGGAACUGCCUGCACCUCCUUUGUUUCUGCGGUAACGUGCGGUGAGGAAAGCUAAGCCAUUGCUGCCAUCCGGGGGUAUGAGGACUGACAUGAAGGACCUUCCCUCCAUGAUGGUCACGGUGGAAUCCAUCCUGAUAACACAGAUGCUCCUCCCCAUGCUGACUUGGGCAACGAGAGCCAUUGCCCCGCCACAGGAGUGAGAGGAACUGACCUGAACAUCGCCUUCCUGCUUGCUGUAGGGAAAGCCUCUGCUGCUGGCCCUGCUGGAGAAAGUCUACCGUCUACGUCAUUGUGCACCAGUACCCAAGACGGCCAGGCAGCUGGGAACACAAGCCACCACAGGAAGUCUGCACCCACGCGGUCAUUCUCCAAAAUGGCGCAUCGAGUCGGUUGUUCCCUGAAUCCCCUGCAAAGCCUUCUCUCUGUGAUGGCCACGGUGGAAUCUAACAUAAUGGCACAGCCGCUGGCGAGUGUUGGAGUCUGACUACUCUCUGGCCCUGAGCUCGAGACUUCAGAUGAAGCCAGACAACCGAAUAUCUCCCCUGCUCCUCCCCGCGGUGCUUGCCUUGCCUUGCCUUGCCGAGUGUACAAGGUUGUGCACAACUAUAGCGACGGAAUGGAUCACAUUAUACACUUGGGUGCCGAUGAACACUGCUAUUACCCGACAUACUGGCCCGUCUCGUUGCUCGCCCCUGACCACUGCAACCAACACUGCCUUCGAUAGAGCCUUUGCUGCCACCAGGGGUGGGUGGGUGGAGCCUGGCCUGGACCUCCCCUUCAUGCUGUUCCUGCUGGAGAAAGUCUACCUCCCCUUAAUGAUCCUGCUGGAGAAAGUCUACCUUCCCUUCCUGGUGAAUUCAGUUUGAACUUCAACCCCUGCGUAUUCUAGGGCCCGGCGGUGACCGUCUUUAGAUUCAGUGACAUGCCCGAGUUCAGUUUGAACUUCAUCCCCUGCGUUUUCUAAGGCCCGGCGGUGACAGUCUUUAGAUUCAGUGACAUGCCCGAGUUCAGUUUGAACUUUAUCCCCUGCGUUUUCUAAGGCCCGGCGGUGACAGUCUUUAGAUUCAGUGACAUGUCUGAGUUCAGUUUGAACUUUAUCCCCUUCGUCUUCAAAGGCCCGGCGGUGACCAUCUUUAGAUUAAGAGACCUGCCUGAAUCUGUUUGAAAAUCAUCCCCUACGUUGGAUAAUAGCGGUGCUCUACCGA